GCUCAAAACAAGGAACUACAACAUCAACUUACCUUGGUAAAUGACAAUCUUACAAACGUCAUCGAUCGAAAGCAUUCCCUACAGCGUGAAUUAACAAAUCUUCAGGAAAAACAGAGAAAAUGGACCGGUAGCAGAGGUCGCAAUUUCUUGGUUAGCUUUAUCCAAUGCCACAGUUAAAAC